AAUCAUCUUAGUAGGUUGAGGAAAAGAGAAUAAACAAUGAUUCCGAAAGUAGUGGCGAGCGAAAUUGGAACAGCCCAAACCUUAACAUAACCAUACGGUUUAACGGCCAGAGUUAUGAAAGGGGUUGUGAAAUUAGAUAAUUUUUAUGUAUAGCGGUUGAUUACAUCGAAGCCUACUCACUUUUAAGGAACAUAUGCAUGGCCAAGUGGCCACAAGCGUGUCCGAAAAAGUGAGUAGGCUUUUGAUACGACGGUUAUACAUAAAAACCAACAUCGUUAAAUGAGUGGAUAAUGAUAAAAUCCUUUAGAUCAUAGCAGAAGUGUUUGAAUGGCACACCAUAGAAGGUGAGAGUCCUGUACGCGAAAUGGUCUUAGGCAUUAUAUAUCUUUUUUCAAGUAGGACGGGGCACGAGAAACCCUGUUUGAAUCCGGCAGGACCACCUGCCAAGGCUAAAUAUAUUGAUUGAUCGAUAGCGAACUAGUACAGUGAUGGAAAGGUGAAAAGAACCCCGGGAGGGGAGUGAAAUAGAUCCUGAAACUUAGUGCCUACAAGGUGUCGGAGCAGCUUCGGCUGUGACGGCGUGCUUUUUGUAGAACGAUCCAGCGAGUUAAUGUUGUCGGCGAGGCUAAGUCAAAUGAUGGAGCCACAGUGAAAGCGAGCCUUAACAGGGCGAAUAGUCGGCAGUAUUAGACCCGAAACCGGGUGACCUAACCAUGAGCAGGUUGAAGCUGCGGUAACACGCAGUGGAGGACCGAACCAGGGUACGCAGUAAAGUGCUUGGAUGACUUGUGGUUAGCGGUGAAAUGCCAAUCGAACUCGGAGAUAGCUGGUUCUCCUCGAAAUAGCUUUAGGGCUAGCGUUGUGUUAGUAAUCAUCAGGGGUAGAGCUCUGAAAAGGUUUGGGGCCGGCAACGGUACCCACCCUUAUCAAACUACGAAUACUGGUGGUGUAACCACAGCAGUCAGAACGGCGGGGCUAAGCUCGUCGCUCAAAAGGGAAACAGCCCAGAUCAUCGUCUAAGGUCCCCAAUUAACACUAAGUGGGAAACAAAGUGAAAUUUCUUAAACAGCUAGGAUGUUGGCUUAGAAGCAGCCAUUCAUUUAAAGAGUGCGUAACAGCUCACUAGUCAAGAGAUUUUGCGUGGAAAAUGUAACGGGGCUAAAGUGUUAAACCGAAGACAUGGACUUCUGCCUAUGCAGGAGUGGUAGAGGAGCGUUGAUAUCGCAGUGAAGUCAGAUUGGAAAGUCUGGUGGAGCGUUAUCAAGUGAGAAUGCUGGAAUUAGUAACCUUAAGACAGGUGAGAAUCCUGUCGGUCGUAAGAGCAAGGUUUCCAGGGCUACAGUAAUUGCCCCUGGGUUAGUCGGUCCUAAGCCGAGGCGUAUCAGCGUAGGCGAUGGACAACAGGUUAAUAUUCCUGUACAGGUAGUAGUUGUGAACAGUUCACGGUGAAUGACUGGAGCGGAUUAAUGGUUUAUCCGUCCAAGUCUUUAGGGAACUAAAGAUGAGUGAAAGGUAAUCUUCGGAUUAUUGAUUCUGGGUGAAGCACUGGCUAGAAAAGCUGGUUCACUUAUGCUGCUGCCUACCGUACCGCAAACCAACACCGGUGCUCGGGUCGAGUAGACCAAGACCUACGUGAGAACCUUCGCUAAGGAACUCGGCAAAAAAGCGUCCGUAACUUCGGAAUAAGGACUGCCCUCUCAUUAAGAUGAGGAUUUGCUAGAAACUCAGCAGAAGAUUCAGAUUACCUUUUAACUGAAUUUUUCGUUGAGACAGAACACAAAACAGGAUUUGUUUAACAAAUUCGUGUCUUUUCUAGUAGUCUAAUCGUCAUUUUGAUGAGAGGGCCGCAGCUAAAGAGCCCACGGAACUGUUUACCAAAAACAUAGGUCUCUGCUAACGCGAAAGCGGAUGUAUAGGGGCUGACUCCUGCCCGGUGUCGGAAGGUUAAGGGGAGAGCUUUACGGUUCGAACUGAAGCCCCGAUGAACGGCGGCGAUAACUAUGAUCGUCCUAAGGUAGCGAAAUUCCUUGUCUGGUAAGUUCAGACCCGCACGAAUGGAGUAAUCAUGUGGGCACUGUCUCGGCGAAGGCCACGGUGAACGUGCAUUGGCGGUAAAGAUGCCGUCUGAUCAUGCCAGGACGAGAAGACCCCAUGGAGCUUUACUACAACUUUGCAUUGAUUAUUGGGACAUUUUGUGUAGAAUAGGUGGAAGACUUUGAAGCAGAUACGCUAGUAUUUGUGGAGUCGAAAUAUGAAAUACCACCCUGAAUGUUUUAGUAAUCUCACUUUUGACCUGAUCGGCCAAAAGGACCGUGCAUGGCGGGUAGUUUAACUGGGGCGGUUGCCUCCUAAAGAGUAGCGGAGGCGUUCA
rnacentral:rRNA from 1 species